CAGUCGCCACGGGAAUACGUAGGGUGCGAGCGUUAGUCGGAAUUACUGGGCGUAAAGCGUGCGCAGGCGGUUUUGUAAGACAGGCGUGAAAUCCCCGGGCUCAACCUGGGAAUGGCGCUUGUGACUGCAAAGCUAGAGUGCGGCAGUGGGGGAUGGAAUUCCGCGUGUAGCAGUGAAAUGCGUAGAUAUGCGGAGGAACACCGAUGGCGAAGGCAAUCCCCUGGGCCUGCACUGACGCUCAUGCACGAAAGCGUGGGGAGCAAACAGGAUUAGAUACCCCGGUAGUCCCUGUCUCUUAUAC
rnacentral:rRNA from 1 species